rnacentral:rRNA from 1 species
AGGAUUAACGCUGGCGGCGUGCCUAACACAUGCAAGUCGAACGAGGUAGCAAUACCUAGUGGCAGACGGGUGAGUAACGCGUGGUCAACCUACCGUUGAGUGGGGGAUAACUAGCCGAAAGGUUAGCUAAUACCGCAUACGAGUUUCGGGGGCAUCCCUGGAUCUUAAAAGGAGCAAUCCGCUCGAUGACGGGACCGCGUCCCAUUAGCUAGAUGGUGGGGUAACGGCCUACCAUGGCACCGAUGGGUAGCUGGUUUGAGAGAGCGACCAGCCACACUGGGACUGAGAAACGGCCCAGACUCCUACGGGAGGCAGCAGUGAGGAAUUUUCCGCAAUGGGCGAAAGCCUGACGGAGCGACGCCGCGUGUGGGAAGAAGGCCUUCGGGUCGUAAACCACUGUCGAAGGGGACGAUAAUGACGGUACCCUUGGAGGAAGCCCCGGCUAACUACGCGCCAGCAGCCGC